CCCGCUGAACUUAAGCAUAUCAAUAAGCGGAGGAAAAGAAACUAACAAGGAUUCCCCUAGUAACUGCGAGUGAAGCGGGAAAAGCUCAAAUUUAAAAUCUGGCGACCUUUGGCCGUCCGAGUUGUAAUCUAGAGAAGUGUUAUCCGCGCUGGACCGUGUACAAGUCUCCUGGAAUGGAGCGUCAUAGAGGGUGAGAAUCCCGUCUUUGACACGGACUGCCAGGGCUUUGUGAUGCGCUCUCAAAGAGUCGAGUUGUUUGGGAAUGCAGCUCAAAAUGGGUGGUAAAUUCCAUCUAAAGCUAAAUAUUGGCGAGAGACCGAUAGCGAACAAGUACCGUGAGGGAAAGAUGAAAAGAACUUUGGAAAGAGAGUUAAACAGUACGUGAAAUUGCUGAAAGGGAAACGCUUGAAGUCAGUCGCGUUGUUUGGGAAUCAACCUUGCUUUUGCUGGGCGUACUUUCCAGAUGACGGGCCGGCAUCAAUUUUGACCGUUGGAUAAAGAUUGGAGGAAUGUGGCAUCUUCGGAUGUGUUAUAACCUUCAGUUGCAUACAGCGGUUGGGAUUGAGGAACUCAGCACGCCGCAAGGCCGGGUACUCGUACCACGUUCGUGCUUAGGAUGCUGGCAUAAUGGCUUUAAUCGACCCGUCUUGAAACACGG
rnacentral:rRNA from 1 species